AUACUUAUCUAGCGUAGGGGAUACCGUGAACAUGUAGGCGGUUCCCCAGCUCAAGGCUCCUCCAUUGCACUGCGGAGUGGUUGACCACUGCAAUUAUUUUUAUUUUUAUCAAAAAAAAAAUCAUGAUAGAAAAUGUAUACCCGAACAAAUAUUUUAUUUAU